CCUACGGGCGGCAGCAGUGAGGAAUAUUGGUCAAUGGACGAGAGUCUGAACCAGCCAAGUAGCGUGAAGGAUGACUGCCCUAUGGGUUGUAAACUUCUUUUAUAUGGGAAUAAAAUGUUCCACGUGUGGGAUUUUGUAUGUACCAUAUGAAUAAGGAUCGGCUAACUCCGUGCCAGCAGCCGCGGUAAUACGGAGGAUCCGAGCGUUAUCCGGAUUUAUUGGGUUUAAAGGGAGCGUAGGUGGAUUGUUAAGUCAGUUGUGAAAGUUUGCGGCUCAACCGUAAAAUUGCAGUUGAAACUGGCAGUCUUGAGUACAGUAGAGGUGGGCGGAAUUCAUGGUGUAGCGGUGAAAUGCUUAGAUAUCACGAAGAACUCCGAUUGCGAAGGCAGUUCACUGGACUGCAACUGACACUGAGGCUCGAAAGUGUGGGUAUCAAACAGGAUUAGAUACCCGUGUAGUC
rnacentral:rRNA from 1 species